AUUAGAGUUUGAUCCUGGCUCAGAACGAACGCUGGCGGCAGGCCUAACACAUGCAAGUCGAACGGAUGUAGCAAUACAUUAGUGGCGCACGGGUGAGUAACGCGUGGGAACGUGCCCUUGGGUGCGGAAUAACACAGGGAAACUUGUGCUAAUACCGCAUAAUAUCUUCGGAUCAAAGAUUUAUCGCCCAAGGAUCGGCCCGCGUCUGAUUAGGUUGUUGGUGAGGUAAUGGCUCACCAAGCCUACGAUCAGUAGCUGGUCUGAGAGGAUGAUCAGCCACACUGGGACUGAGACACGGCCCAGACUCCUACGGGAGGCAGCAGUGGGGAAUUUUGGACAAUGGGCGAAAGCCUGAUCCAGCCAUGCCGCGUGAGUGAAGAAGGCCUUCGGGUUGUAAAGCUCUUUCGGUGGGGAAGAAAUUGCAUAGGCUAAUACCCUGUGUAGAUGACGGUACCUGGAGAAGAAGCACCGGCUAACUACGUGCCAGCAGCCGCGGUAAUAAU
rnacentral:rRNA from 1 species